rnacentral:rRNA from 1 species
UUACACGACCGUACCGCAAACCGACACUGGUGCGCGAGAUGAGUAUUCUAAGGCGCUUGAGAGAACUCAGGAGAAGGAACUCGGCAAAUUGACACCGUAACUUCGGAAGAAGGUGUGCCUUUAGUAGGUGAACCUGUACAAGGGGAGCCCAAUGAGGUUGCAAAAAAUCGGUGGCUGCGACUGUUUAAUAAAAACACAGCACUCUGCAAACACGAAAGUGGACGUAUAGGGUGUGACGCCUGCCCGGUGCUGGAAGAUUAAAUGAUGGGGUGCAAGCUCUUGAUUGAAGUCCCAGUAAACGGCGGCCGUAACAAUAACGGUCCUAAGGUAGCGAAAUUCCUUGUCGGGUAAGUUCCGACCUGCACGAAUGGCGUAACGAUGGCCACACUGUCUCCUCCUGAGACUCAGCGAAGUUGAAAUGUUUGUGAUGAUGCAAUCUCCCCGCGGAAAGACGGAAAGACCCCAUGAACCUUUACUGUAGCUUUGUAUUGGACUUUGAACAGAUCUGUGUAGGAUAGGUGGGAGGCUUUGAAGUGUGGUCGCUAGAUCGCAUGGAGCCAACGUUGAAAUACCACCCUGGUGUGUUUGAGGUUCUAACCUAGGCCCGUAAUCCGGGUCGGGGACAGUGCAUGGUAGGCAGUUUGACUGGGGCGGUCUCCUCCCAAAGCGUAACGGAGGAGUUCGAAGGUACGCUAGGUACGGUCGGACAUCGUGCUAAUAGUGCAAUGGCAUAAGCGUGCUUAACUGCGAGACUGACAAGUCGAGCAGAUGCGAAAGCAGGACAUAGUGAUCCGGUGGUUCUGUAUGGAAGGGCCAUCGCUCAACGGAUAAAAGGUACUCUGGGGAUAACAGGCUGAUACCGCCCAAGAGUUCAUAUCGACGGCGGUGUUUGGCACCUCGAUGUCGGCUCAUCUCAUCCUGGGGCUGUAGCCGGUCCCAAGGGUAUGGCUGUUCGCCAUUUAAAGAGGUACGUGAGCUGGGUUUAAAACGUCGUGAGACAGUUUGGUCCCUAUCUUCCGUGGGCGCUGCAGAUUUGAGGAAGCCUGCUCCUAGUACGAGAGGACCGGAGUGGACACACCUCUGGUGUAUCGGUUGUCACGCCAGUGGCAUUGCCGAGUAGCUAUGUGUGGAAGAGAUAACCGCUGAAAGCAUCUAAGCGGGAAACUCGUUUCAAAAUGAGAUCUGCCGGGGUCUUGAGCCCCCUAAAGAGUCGUUCAAGACCAGGACGUUGAUAGGUCGGGUGUGGAAGCGCAGUAAUGCGUUAAGCUAACCGAUACUAAUUGCUCGUGCGGCUUGACCU